rnacentral:rRNA from 1 species
UACGAAGGGAGCUAGCGUUGUUCGGAAUUACUGGGCGUAAAGGGCGCGUAGGCGGUCCGGCAAGUCAGAUGUGAAAGCCCUGGGCUCAACCCGGGAAUUGCGUUUGAUACUGCCGGUCUUGAAUUCGGUAGAGGUUGGUAGAAUUCCCAGUGUAGAGGUGAAAUUCGUAGAGAUUGGGAAGAAUACCCGUGGCGAAGGCGGCCAACUGGACCGACAUUGACGCUGAGGCGCGAAAGCGUGGGGAGCAAAC